UGGGGAAUUUUGGACAAUGGGCGAAAGCCUGAUCCAGCAAUGCCGCGUGUGUGAAGAAGGCCUUCGGGUUGUAAAGCACUUUUGUCCGGAAAGAAAUCCUUGGCUCUAAUACAGUCGGGGGAUGACGGUACCGGAAGAAUAAGCACCGGCUAACUACGUGCCAGCAGCCGCGGUAAUACGUAGGGUGCAAGCGUUAAUCGGAAUUACUGGGCGUAAAGCGUGCGCAGGCGGUUUGCUAAGACCGAUGUGAAAUCCCCGGGCUCAACCUGGGAACUGCAUUGGUGACUGGCAGGCUAGAGUAUGGCAGAGGGGGGUAGAAUUCCACGUGUAGCAGUGAAAUGCGUAGAGAUGUGGAGGAAUACCGAUGGCGAAGGCAGCCCCCUGGGCCAAUACUGACGCUCAUGCACGAAAGCGUGGGGAGCAAACAGGAUUAGAUACCCUGGUAGUCCACGCCCUAAACGAUGUCAACUAGUUGUUGGGGAUUCAUUCCUUAGUAACGUAGCUAACGCGUGAAGUUGACCGCCUGGGGAGUACGGUCGCAAGAUUAAAACUUAAAUGAAUUGACGGGGUCAUAGCUGUUUCC
rnacentral:rRNA from 1 species